AGUGUAGUGGUGUAGUGGUGACCAUCCGCGUCUGUCACAUGCGAGACCGGGGUUCUAUUCCCGGUGGGAGAG